AUUGAACGCUGGCGGCAGGCCUAACACAUGCAAGUCGAACGGUAGCACAGAGAGCUUGCUCUCGGGUGACGAGUGGCGGACGGGUGAGUAAUGUCUGGGAAACUGCCCGAUGGAGGGGGAUAACUACUGGAAACGGUAGCUAAUACCGCAUAAUGUCGCAAGACCAAAGAGGGGGACCUUCGGGCCUCUUGCCAUCGGAUGUGCCCAGAUGGGAUUAGCUAGUUGGUGAGGUAAUGGCUCACCAAGGCGACGAUCCCUAGCUGGUCUGAGAGGAUGACCAGCCACACUGGAACUGAGACACGGUCCAGACUCCUACGGGAGGCAGCAGUGGGGAAUAUUGCACGAUGGGCGCAAGCCUGAUGCAGCCAUGCCGCGUGUAUGAAGAAGGCCUUCGGGUUGUAAAGUACUUUCAGCGGGGAGGAAGGCAAUGCGGUUAAUAACCGUGUUGAUUGACGUUACCCGCAGAAGAAGCACCGGCUAACUCCGU
rnacentral:rRNA from 1 species